rnacentral:lncRNA from 1 species
UUGCAGCUUUUUUUAUAGUUUAGGGUGUGCAGACAAAGGACCAAUGGGAAAGUUAAAUUGCUUUCACACAGCAUACAUGUAAAAAUAGCAUUAUUUAAAAAAAAAAAAGUGUUCACAAAACACAUGUUGCCGCAAAAAGAAAUGAUAUUCUGGUUGGUAGAAAGUGUUCAAUUCACUGUUCUGUGUGAAACUAAGUGGUUCCAUGUUCGGUUUUGCAAGUAAUACGUUGUUAAAACAAAAUCACAAUGAUUCCAAACGUUUAUCUCUGUUGUUAAUUCUUAAAGUGCAAAUCUCUACGGCUCUACCUAUUAUUUGACAUGGCAAAUUAGGGAAAGGGUCAAAACUCAAAACUGGCUAUGUCCAAGUGGACGGCAGGUCAAAGUGGGGAUGUUGUAUUGUAUUAGAUUCAUUGGAGGCUGGGCUUGGGCUAAGGCGUAUAAACAAGUUGGACUUGGGCUCUUAAUCAGCGUUUUGUUCGGUUAUCUUAGAGGUGCACAUAUCAGGUUUAUUUAAUACCCGGGUAGAGCUGCACAAAAAAACCGGUUCCUACCCUACCUGACCCGUGGGUACAUACCAGGUCCAGACCCGGGGUUGGAAAAAGAACCGAACCGGAUCUGACCCAGUGGAACUGAAACCGGUUCCACCUCUACCCGGCCAAACUGAUCAAAAGCCUGAACGUACCUGGAACCGGUUCCUACCCGACCCGGUUCUUGACUUUGUUGACCAAACCCGAAACCGGUUCCUAACCCGGUUCUUGAAAAAACCCCAUUUUGUGCCUAUGUUGUCAAAAGCGAGCUAGGGGGUAUUUAUAUGGUGGGGUAGUUGGUAGGUGAAUGGUCUUAAAUGCCCUCACGUGCGAAGCACGUGAUCAGAACUAACUUAAUUUUCUAACUGGGUUUGGGGUAAAGGAUGAAACGUGCAACAUGUUUUUAAAAUAAAGGAUUGUGGCUGUAAUUAUUGAAGUUAAAAGGCUAUCUACUGCAACCCGCUACAAACAACAUAAAGGACGAAAAGUGUAGUUUACCCAAAGGAGAAUCAUAUGCUAGAUAAAAUUUCCAUAACAACUGGAUAAUGUUACUCCUCAAAUAGUAAAUACUUAGUUGCAUGUUGUUUUUGCCUAAACCUCCAAACAGAGCCCUAAAAAGCAUAAUCAUACAAGUAGCACCCAAACAGAGUGAUGAUUACUUGAAAUAAAACACAUAAUAAUAAUGAGUAAACAGUAGCUAAACCAAAGCAAUUACCCAAAAUAUUAGAAGAAUUAGGGCGAAGAAUUCUCAAAUCCCUAUCAAAAACCGCAAAUUACCUGAGCAGAUCGGUGUGUAUCCUUGAUGCGUAAUGACGAAACAAAAUCUAUUUCAAUGAACACGAUCCUGACCCGUAAUCAAAACAAAGGACCAAUUUAUGAUUGAAAGAGAGAGCGGUUGAUGAUUGAUAAUUACAGAGCACCAGUUGUCGUGAGGCUAAUUUAGGUCAGAAAACAACU